UUUAAAUACAAUCAUAAUUUUCUGUGCCCAACUUUAAUUAUCCAUCUUAUUUAAAGUUGUUUAUAAUUAGUAUUUUUAUUGUUAUGAGAUGAUAAAAUAUGAAUAAUAUAUGUUUUUUUAAAAAAAAUAAAUGAGACGAAUGGUUAAAGUUGUGCACGGAAAAUCAUAGUUACAUUUAAA
rfam:Oryza sativa (indica cultivar-group) chromosome 9, whole genome shotgun sequence.